rnacentral:rRNA from 1 species
UACGUAGGGUGCGAGCGUUAAUCGGAAUUACUGGGCGUAAAGCGCUCGUAGGCGGUUUGUCGCGUCUGCCGUGAAAGUCCGGGGCUCAACUCCGGAUCUGCGGUGGGUACGGGCAGACUAGAGUGAUGUAGGGGAGACUGGAAUUCCUGGUGUAGCGGUGAAAUGCGCAGAUAUCAGGAGGAACACCGAUGGCGAAGGCAGGUCUCUGGGCAUUAACUGACGCUGAGGAGCGAAAGCAUGGGGAGCGAACAGG